rnacentral:rRNA from 1 species
GGCGGCGCGCCUAACACAUGCAAGUCGAACGGAGUCAAGAGUAGCUUGCUUUUCUUGACUUAGUGGCGAACGGGUGAGUAACGCGUGAGUAACCUGCCCUGGAGUGGGGGACAACAGUUGGAAACGACUGCUAAUACCGCAUAAGCCCACGGAUCCGCAUGGAUCUGCGGGAAAAGGAUUUAUUCGCUUCAGGUUGGACUCGCGUCCAAUUAGCUAGUUGGUGAGGUAACGGCCCACCAAGGCGACGAUUGGUAGCCGGACUGAGAGGUUGAACGGCCACAUUGGGACUGAGACACGGCCCAGACUCCUACGGGAGGCAGCAGUGGGGGAUAUUGCACAAUGGGGGAAACCCUGAUGCAGCGACGCCGCGUGGAGGAAGAAGGUUUUCGGAUUGUAAACUCCUGUCGUUAGGGACGAUAAUGACGGUACCUAACAAGAAAGCACCGGCUAACUACGUGCCAGCAGCCGCGGUAAAACGUAGGGUGCAAGCGUUGUCCGGAAUUACUGGGUGUAAAGGGAGCGCAGGCGGACCGGCAAGUUGGAAGUGAAAACUAUGGGCUCAACCCAUAAAUUGCUUUCAAAACUGCUGGCCUUGAGUAGUGCAGAGGUAGGUGGAAUUCCCGGUGUAGCGGUGGAAUGCGUAGAUAUCGGGAGGAACACCAGUGGCGAAGGCGACCUACUGGGCACCAACUGACGCUGAGGCUCGAAAGCAUGGGUAGCAAACAGGAUUAGAUACCCUGGUAGUCCACACUGUAAACGAUGAUUACUAGGUGUUGGAGGAUUGACCCCUUCAGUGCCGCAGUUAACACAAUAAGUAAUCCACCUGGGGAGUACGACCGCAAGGUUGAAACUCAAAGGGAAUUGACGGGGGGC